CUGUCUCUGUACUGCUUGAUGCAGGCUAAGAGGAAAAGCACGUUGACGGAUGAAGCUAGGAAUAAAAUAAAGAAUAAAGAUAGAGUGACCGAACAAGAGACCAGAUGGACUAGAGUAAAUAUUGGAGAGGCUUUUACACGCUGGAGAGAGCUUCAGGGAACGGUGGGCGGUAAGUCCUAUACCGAGCUGGCACAGCUGCUGUUGAACUGCUUUCUAAAAAGGCGAUCAGUAUCAUCUCCUGCAACAAAUGCAACCUACCACCCUGCCAGAGUCUACAGUCAGACUGCGACAGAUGUUCAGCAACUGAAUGAGGAAGAGGAGGCUGAUGUCUUGUAAUCCAGAGAAGCAGUUUGGUCACAGCCCACCUGUAUACAGAACACUGACCUUGCUGGCAGCUACUGAUUAUAACUACCAGAACCCCCGACUUCCUGCUUGAAACC